rnacentral:rRNA from 1 species
AGGACGAACGCUGGCGGCGUGCUUAACACAUGCAAGUCGAGCGGAAAGGCCCUUCGGGGUACUCGAGCGGCGAACGGGUGAGUAACACGUGAGUAAUCUGCCCCUAGCUCUGGGAUAGCUCCGGGAAACCGGGAUUAAUACCGGAUACGACCACUUUAGACAUCUGUUGUGGUGGAAAGAAUUUUGGCUAGGGAUGAGCUCGCGGCCUAUCAGCUUGUUGGUGGGGUAAUGGCCUACCAAGGCGACGACGGGUAGCCGGCCUGAGAGGGCGACCGGCCACACUGGGACUGAGACACGGCCCAGACUCCUACGGGAGGCAGCAGUGGGGAAUAUUGCGCAAUGGGCGAAAGCCUGACGCAGCGACGCCGCGUGGGGGAUGAAGGCCUUCGGGUUGUAAACCCGUUUCAGCAGGGACGAAGCGAAAGUGACGGUACCUGCAGAAGAAGCGCCGGCUAACUACGCGCCAGCAGCCGC